AUUGAACGCUGGCGGCAGGCCUAACACAUGCAAGUCGGGCGCGCGGCGGACGGGUGAGUAAUGUAUGGGGCUCUGCCUGAUUGUGGGGGAUAACUACUGGACACGGUAGCUAAUACUGCCUCCCCUCAGAUGAACCCAUAUGGGGUUAGCUGGUGGGUAAGGUAACGGCUUACCUAGGCGACGAUCCCUAGCUGGUCUGUGAGGAUGAACAGCCAAACUGGGACUGAGACACGGCCCAGACUCCAACGGGAGGCAGCAGUGGGGAAUAUUGCACAAGGGGCGCAAGCCUGAUGCAGCCAUGCCGCGUGGAGGAAGAAGGCCUGCGGGUUGUAAAGGACUUUCAGUCGGGAGGCGUUACCGACAGAAGAAGCACCGGCUAACUCCGUGCCAGCAGCCGCGGUAAUUC
rnacentral:rRNA from 1 species